rnacentral:rRNA from 1 species
GACGAGGGGUCCUAGCGUUGUUCGGAAUCACUGGGCGUAAAGCGCAUGUAGGUGGCUUUUCAAGUCAGGUGUGAAAUCCUGGGGCUUAACCCCAGAACUGCACUUGAUACUGUUAAGCUUGAAUAUGGGAGAGGAUGGCGGAAUCCCUGGUGUAGUGGUGAAAUACGUAGAUAUCAGGGGGAAGACCGGUGGCGAAGGCGGCUAUCUGGCCUAAUAUUGACACUGAGAUGCGAAAGCGUGGGGAUCAAACAGG